UCGAGAAUCAUUCACAAUGGGGGCAACCCUGAUGGUGCAACGCCGCGUGGAGGAUGAAGGUCUUCGGAUUGUAAACUCCUGUCAUCUAGGAGCAAGACCUGGCGAUGAAUAGUCGACAGGGUUGAUAGUACUAGAAGAGGAAGGGACGGCUAACUUCGUGCCAGCAGCCGCGGUAAUACGAAGGUCCCGAGCGUUAUUCGGAAUCACUGGGCGUAAAGGGAGCGUAGGCGGCGUGGAAAGUCAGAUGUG
rnacentral:rRNA from 1 species